GACGAACGCUGGCGGCGUGCCUAAUACAUGCAAGUCGAACGCAGUGGGGACGGGUGAGUAACACGUGGGUAACCUCCCAUCAGAGGGGAUAACACUUGGAAACAGGUGCUAAACCGAUACUGAUGGAUGGACCCGCGGUGCAUGAGCUGGUUGGGGGGGGAACGGCGCACCAAGGCCACGCUGCAUAGCGUGCCGUGCAGUGUGUUCGGCCACAUCGGGACUGAGACACGGCCCAGACUCCUACGGGAGGCAGUAGGAGGGAAUCUGCUGCAAUGGACGAAAGUCUGACCGAGCAAUGCCGCGUUAGUGAAGAAGGUUUUCGGAUCGGAAAACUCUGUUGUUAGAGAAGCGGUAUCUAACCAGAAAGCCACGGCUAACUACGUGCCAGCAGCCGCGGUAAUUC
rnacentral:rRNA from 1 species